AUGUUGGAGAAUGUUUCCAGAUCAGCAAUGUUUGCCUUUGUUUUUCCACUCAGGGCAAACAUUGCUGAUCUGGAAACAUUCUCCAACAUAAUCAU